UGGGGAAUAUUGCACAAUGGGCGCAAGCCUGAUGCAGCCAUGCCGCGUGUGUGAAGAAGGCCUUCGGGUUGUAAAGCACUUUCAGCGGGGAGGAAGGCGUUAAGGUUAAUAACCUUGGCGAUUGACGUUACCCGCAGAAGAAGCACCGGCUAACUCCGUGCCAGCAGCCGCGGUAAUACGGAGGGUGCAAGCGUUAAUCGGAAUUACUGGGCGUAAAGCGCACGCAGGCGGUCUGUCAAGUCGGAUGUGAAAUCCCCGGGCUCAACCUGGGAACUGCAUUCGAAACUGGCAGGCUAGAGUCUUGUAGAGGGGGGUAGAAUUCCAGGUGUAGAGGUGAAAUGCGUAGAGAUCUGGAGGAAUACCAGUGGCGAAGGCGGCCCCCUGGACAAAGACUGACGCUCAGGUGCGAAAGCGUGGGGAGCAAACAGG
rnacentral:rRNA from 1 species